GGCAGUGCAUAAAAGAGGCACUAACUCCCCACCAGCCCUAUCUGAAGAGAUGUUUCUGAAAAGAAAACAGGCAGGGCUCUCAAAACAAGCAUUUUCAAGCUGUGUAAUGUGAUUGCCACAAGUCAUUGUUGUGACUGAUUUCAAGCGGAGACACGACAGCGUCUGGCAACCAGGAGGUGAGAGUCAACGCAGGCUGCCUUGUGCUGCUUUCACAGGCACUGCAGAGAAAUGGGAUUGUUUCAGGAGCAAUUCAUCCGACCUGCUGUGGACAUCUCAAUCAGAGGGUGAUGAAAUGCCUGAUCCUGUUCUUUCGUGGCUCAGCGGAGGAGAAGACGCUGUAGUGUUUCAGCACCUCAUUUUGUUUGUGGGCUGGGGAGGUGCAGAAGUGUCACUACUGGCUAAACGCUUUCUUCAUGAUCUCCAGUUCCCCAAGGGCUGUUAUCAGCUUCCACCCAAACAGUAUGUUCUCCAAGUGACUCGCGUUUCCUUACUGACAGGAGAUAUUGAUUGAUUUGCCUGUAUCUUAACAACCAGCACUUGCAAAGCAAAGUGCAGCUUUGUUAAACAAAGGAUGUCAACAGGAGCGGCAGGAGCACCACGGGCAGAGUUUCUGAGCACUUGAGGACUGAGCCCCAUGCACCAUGUGCAGAGCAUGCUUUGGCUAAGGUGCAAGAGGAUGCAUGGACACAACUCUCCCCCUCUCUGUGUA
rnacentral:lncRNA from 1 species